rfam:Neonectria ditissima strain R09/05 contig_251, whole genome shotgun sequence.
UGAUAUAUAUCAACUCUAAGAGAAAUUAAAUAAAAAACGAAGUGAAUUGAAAUAUCUUAGUAACUUUAGGAAAAGAAAUCAAAAGAGAUUCUAUGAUUAGCGUGAGCUAAAGUAGACUAGCCUAAAAAGUAAAAUGGUUAAUAAACUGUUUAAAUUAAAUGGGGAACCUUCCUCAAAGGCUAAAUAUAAUUUAUAAGCGAUAGUGAAAAGUACCGUGAGGGAAC